ensembl:lncRNA
AUGACUUCCUUCACAAAGGGUGAGGAGGAGCGCCAUGACGAUCACCAAAGAAAGGCAUACGAGAAUCUACAGCACAAUCAGCAGAGGAGAAUGCAGCUCCAGAAUGAUCUUCAGUCACAGCAGCGAAAUCAUCGCCUGAGCAGGGCAGCCUGGAUGCAGGGCCGCUGGUUGGAGAUCAGUGAGCAGGAGCGCAGGGCUCAGAUCAAGAACCAAAAGCUGCUGCAGGACUUUCAGAGAGCACAACACACGCUCAGUGACAUGGUGGCCCGCACCGAAGCCAUGAACACUAUACGGCAGGUACAGCAGCACUUAAAGAGCUAUAUUCAGACGAUGGAAAAGGAAGAAGGUAUCAAGUCUGAACACAGGUCUGACUUUAGAGGCCACCUGUCCUCCAAUUUUCCAGACGCAUCUCAGCCUUCACACACCAUGCUAAACACUCAUCGGAAAGUGAAAGACAUCAAGCAAAAUCCUGAAAGAUGCAACCAUGAUCCUUACAUUCCACCCACUUGGUUAACUGGCUCACAGCCUUCAAUUUCCGGACUCCCCCAAAACAAUAUCGCAAAGGAUUACAAAAACCUUCAGAACAAUCAAACCUUAAAUAAUCCCUUGCCACCUUACUAUUCUUUACCUGGCGAUUUAGUCCAUCAGUCACAUUCUCCAGUCCAGCAAAAGCCACCAUCAAUGGACCAUCUGUGGGCUGGUAUAAGGCAAGAGUUUAUGCCUACAGCUCACUUCACUCCUCCUGCUGCUUCCCAGCCACGACUUCCUGUGCUGAACCCCAUGACGUGGGGUAUGAUGGAUGUACCAGACCCCAGUGAGGAAAGAAUCCAAUGCAGUGAGCCAGACAAGGAAAAGGUGACAAAAGCAAAACCAAAACACAGGCGGAAAGGGAAAGAGAGUGAUCGGUCUUCUGAGCUCGACUGUAGACCAGUGCGUCUAUCAAUCAACCAUGAAGAAAGUAGUGAAGGUAGCAAUGUGUCCUCUAAAGUUUCUGGGAUGCAAAAACGGAGAAAGAAAAAAACAGAUGGGACAAAAUCAAAUUCUACAGAAAAUAGGAAUGAAUCUCACGGCUCUUCCACUGUGUCACAAGAUGCUUCAGAUAGUAACUUGGGCACAAAAAUCAACCAAAAACACCAAAAGCAAUUUAAUAAGUGCAACAGCAAAGAAUCCGUUAUCGCAGAGAAGACUGUUGAUGCAGUGAUGCAAGAUGAAGACGAACAAGAAGAAAGCAAGAGCCAAGAAAUUUCUCAGAGUAGUGUCAGCUCUGGAAAGAAAGAUGGAUCUGAAGGACUUAAUGUUAGAGAGGAAGAAGAUUCUAAUGAAGGAGAUGAUGACAGUCAUGACAUCAUUGUGGCAGAGGAGAAAAUAAGUCACAGAGAAGCUAAAGAUGAAGACGAGGAUGAAGAAAGCACAGAUGGAGAUGAGGAAGCAGGAUUUGAUGAUGAAGCACAGGGAUGCGAUGAAGAAGGGAGUGAGACAGUGGUGGGAAAGAGAGAUGAGACUGAACCCAGUGAUAGAGAAGAUCCAGAAAGGGAAGGCGUUGUUCCAGAUGACAUUCCAGAUAGUGGAGAUGGAGGAGAAACAACGGAGGAAGAGGAAAGAGAAAAUAGUUUUCAAAAUACAAAGGAGGCUAGAAAGACUCAAGAAACUGUAGAAGAUGAGAGAGAAAUUCACAAAAGCCUCGAGGAGUCUGAAGAGGAAGAGGUUUACAAUCAAGAAGUAGAAGAUGAUGAAGAAGAAGAUGAUGAGGAGGUUGUGGUUGAGAAAUCAUACCCCUGGUCAAGAGACCCUUUUGAUGAUCAUACAAAAUGCCCUGAGGAUGAUGAGGAUGAUAUUGAAGGUCUUCUCAACCCUGUCAACUCCCAAACACAGCAGGAGGAUGAUAUGAAGGAGACAGAGCAAUCAAAUGAUCAACCAUCUGAUUCAGAGGAGGAAAAUCUACCACAGAAGAGUCAUCCUGCAGCCACAAAUGAGAUAGUGGAGUCUGAUGAUGAGUUUGACCACUUCUAUGAUUAAACCAGAAACUAGAACAGAAAGAUGGGAAACAGAAAAAGAAUUGAACAGAAAGAGAAAACCAAUAAAGGAUGAAUAAGCUGGACA